UAGCGAAAUUCCUUGUCGGGUAAGUUCCGACCUGCACGAAUGGCGUAACGAUCUGGGCACUGUCUCCACAGGGGGCUCAGCGAAUCUGUAGUACCGGUGAAGAUGCCGGUUACCCGCAUGAAGACGGAAAGACCCUGUGAACCUUUACUGCACCUUGGCAGUGAUCCCUGAUGCGUUAUGUGUAGGAUAGGUGGGAGGCUUUGAAGCCGGGACGCCAGUCUCGGUGGAGUCAUUGGUGAAAUACCACCCUUAGCGUAUUGGAGAUCUAACCUGGGCCCGUAAUCCGGGUCGGGGACACUGUCAGGCGGGUAGUUUGACUGGGGCGGUCGCCUCCUAAAGAGUAACGGAGGCGCUCGAAGGUUCCCUCAGGCUGAUUGGAAACCAGCCGCAGAGCGCAAAGGCAGAAGGGAGCUUGACUGCGAGACCUACAAGUCGAGCAGGUACGAAAGUAGGACUUAGUGAUCCGGUGGUUCCGUAUGGAAGGGCCAUCGCUCAACGGAUAAAAGGUACUCCGGGGAUAACAGGCUUAUCGCCGCCAAGAGUUCAUAUCGACGCGGCGGUUUGGCACCUCGAUGUCGGCUCAUCACAUCCUGGGGCUGAAGCAGGUCCCAAGGGUUCGGCUGUUCGCCGAUUAAAGUGGUACGUGAGCUGGGUUUAGAACGUCGCGAGACAGUUCGGUCCCUAUCUCAUGUGGGCGUAGGAUACUUGAGAGGAGCUGUCCCUAGUACGAGAGGACCGGGACGGACGAACCUCUGGUGCACCAGUUGUCGCGCCAGCGGCACAGCUGGGUAGCUAUGUUCGGUUAGGAUAACCGCUGAAAGCAUCUAAGCGGGAAGCCAGCCUCGAGAUGAGGUAUCCCUGAAGACCCCUGGAAGACUACCAGGUUGAUAGGCGGGACGUGUAAGCGCUGCGAGGCGUUUAGCUAACCCGUACUAAUCGGUCGUUCGGCUUGACCAUUUUCAAGAU
rnacentral:rRNA from 1 species